UACAGAGGGUGCUAGCGUCGUUCGGAAUCAUUGGGCGUAAAGGGCGUGUAGGCGGUUUGUUAAGUCAUGUGUGAAAUCCCUCGGCUCAACCGGGGAACGACGCAUGAAACUGGCAAGCUAGAGUACCAAAGAGGGGGGUGGAAUUCCCGGUGUAGCGGUGAAAUGCGUAGAUAUCGUGAGGAAGACCAGUGGCGAAGGCGGGUCUCUGGACAGUUCCUGACACUGAGGCACGAAGGCCAGGAGAGCAAACGGG
rnacentral:rRNA from 1 species